AUUCACAAACCGAUUUUGAACCAACAGUCACUGCUUGUUACCAACAAGAUAAGAACGAUUCGCAAUGUUUUUCUUUACCCGAAUUGCACGAGCGAAAAACUUAUCAAGUUGAUUCUAUACCCCACUGCACCGUUCCUUGGAUAUGUCAAACAAGACACACAUGUGGUAUUCUACUUAUUAUUGGAUCCAUUGUCGUCUUUGGAAUAUUAAAUGUUGUUUGUAUAUACUGUAGUGUCAGGUACUUUGUACGGAGAAAGUUGGCCAGCGCGACUUUAAGACGAGGAGACUGUUUACCGAGUCCAGUGAGAACAACCGUACACAUUUACUCACACAUGUAAAACAAAGUCAGGAAUAAAACGUUUCAGUAAAUUGGGAUUGAUAAUUUUUUGUGUGUUUAUAGCAAGUAUCUAUAUGUUAUGAUAUGUUACAAUAGUACUUUUUAUAUGCAUAAAACGGUUGCAAAGCAUCUGAGUGUAGAAAUACGGCAACAAUUAUGAUGCACGACGCAUAAUGAUAGAUUUACAGUGCUCAGUAAGUACGCCGUUUAUUAUGUAAAAAAUUUCAUAAGAUAACAA